UAGGGGUUGUAAAGAGCACUGGUUCUUUCAGGGAAAAAGAGCCAGGGACCCCUGAGGUUUAGAGAACGUGAACUGUUUAUUCUUGUCGCUACCUGUCCUCUCCUCCAGAUGACCUGCCUCCUCCAGUUGUUUCAGAAAGUUUUCUUCUUAGUGCUCUGGGGGGAGGUUGUAGGUGACAGGCUGCUGGUGGUCCCUCAGGAUGGAAGCCACUGGCUCAGUAUGAAGGACAUAGUUGAGCUCCUCAGUGAGAACGGGCAUGACAUUGUGGUGCUGGUGCCAGAAGUCAAUUUGCUUUUGAAGGAGUCCAAGCACUACACAAGAAAAAUCUAUCCAGUGCCAUUCGACCAGGAGGAGCUGGAGAAUCGGUACCGCUCUUUUGGAAACAAUCACUUUGCUGAGAGAUGGCUCCUGAACGCUGCUCAGAUGGAAUACAGGAAUAGCAUGAUCGUUAUUGACAUGUAUUUCACCAACUGCCAGAGCCUCCUGGAGAACUCGGCCACCCUGAGUGUCCUCAGGGAGAGCAAGUUCGAUGCCCUUUUCACAGACCCAGCCCUACCCUGCGGGGUGAUCCUGGCUGAGUACCUGGGCCUGCCCUCCGUGUACCUCUUCAGGGGCUUCCCAUGCUCCCUGGAGCAUACCAUGAGCAGGAGCCCAAACCCUGUGUCCCACGUUCCCAGAUGCUACACUCAGUUCUCAGACCAGAUGACGUUCCCCCAAACGGGUGGCCAACUACCUCGCUAAUUACUUGGAGACUUAUCUGUUCCACUGUCUGUACUUGAAGUACGAAGACCUCGCCUCCAAUAUCCUCAAGAGGGAUGUGCACCUACCCACCUUGUAUCAGAAGGGCUCCAUCUGGCUCUUAAGAUAUGACUUUGUGUUUGAAUAUCCCAGACCGGUCAUGCCUAACAUGGUUUUCGUUGGAGGGACCAAUUGCAAGAAGACGGGGGUCCUGUCUCAGAUGGGUGGUUUUCUUUCUUUUUGA